rnacentral:rRNA from 1 species
GACGAACGCUGGCGGCGUGCUUAACACAUGCAAGUCGAACGGAAAGGCCCCUUUGGGGGUACUCGAGUGGCGAACGGGUGAGUAACACGUGAGUAACCUGCCCUUGACUUCGGGAUAACUUCAGGAAACUGGGGCUAAUACCGGAUAGGAAUCCUUGCUGCAUGGUGGGGGUUGGAAAGCUUCGGCGGUUUUGGAUGGACUCGCGGCUUAUCAGCUUGUUGGUGGGGUAGUGGCUUACCAAGGCUUUGACGGGUAGCCGGCCUGAGAGGGCGACCGGUCACAUUGGGACUGAGAUACGGCCCAGACUCCUACGGGAGGCAGCAGUGGGGAAUAUUGCACAAUGGGCGGAAGCCUGAUGCAGCAACGCCGCGGGCGGGAUGACGGCCUUCGGGUUGUAAACCGCUUUCAGCAGGGGCGAAGCUUGUGGUGACGGUACCUGCAGAAGAAGCACCGGCUAACUACGUG